AACGAACGCUGGCGGCAUGCCUAACACAUGCAAGUCGAACGAGACCUUCGGGUCUAGUGGCGCACGGGUGCGUAACGCGUGGGAACCUGCCCUUAGGUUCGGAAUAACUCCCCGAAAGGGGUGCUAAUACCGGCUAAUGUCUUCGGACCAAAGAUUUAUCGCCUUUGGAUGGGCCCGCGUUGGAUUAGCUAGUUGGUAGGGUAAAAGCCUACCACGGCGACGAUCCAUAGCUGGUCUGAGAGGCUGAUCAGCCACACUGGGACUGAGACACGGCCCAGACUCCUACGGGAGGCAGCAGUGGGGAAUAUUGGACAAUGGGCGAAAGCCUGAUCCAGCAAUGCCGCGUGAGCGAUGAAGGCCUUAGGGUUGUAAAGCUCUUUUACCCGGGAUGAUAAUGACAGUACCGGGAGAAUAAGCUCCGGCUAACUCCGUG
rnacentral:rRNA from 1 species